UAAAAAUUAACCAGCCAUCUCUGUUUCAAUUUGUAAGAAAACAAAAGCGGAAAGAAAUUAUAAAAAGGGAAAGGGUAAGGGGGAAAAAAUGAAAAGGAUCAGAAGAGGAGAACUAAACCAGCCCAACCCAAAAUGCAGGACCUUUUCCACAGCAACGAAUUGGCCCUGCCAGGCCUGCUCCUCAGGAAAGCCUCACCGCCCCCAGCAGAGGAGCCUGGGCCGCUGGGCAGCGCACCCUGGGGCCUCCCCGCUUCUGCAGAGAGACCAGCCGGGAACUCGUGUCAGCUCGCCCCAGCGCCGUGUCCGUCUGCACAGAUGACCGUGGAUGCACGCAGGGCGCACAGGGCCGACGCCAGUCCCAACACCGGCUGAUUUUUGGCUGUCCCCAAAGAAGACGGAAAAUGACAUCCACUAGCGAUCGAGGAAACAGCUCUGGAUUCCCUCUCCUCGGGCUGUUUUCAUUUUCUUUUCUCCUGAUACAGUUGAAACAUCCACCCCAGCAUUUUUUGAAUCAGACCUAAAUCCUAAAUAUGUGAUUUCAGCUUUGUUAUCGACACCAAUACUAAUGUUAACCACAGUCAUAAUGAACAAAACACUUCUUGUUAACACAAAUAAGGUGGUUGUCUCGGCCACAUUAGGGUUAAAAGCUGCAUGGGUCGUCUUGCAGCCCCUUCCCCACCUCCCAAACCCCUUCACCCUUUUUCCACUCAGUCAGGUGACAGAGGGCCGGGCUCUCAGCUUUUUCUUUUUCUUUCUUUU